rnacentral:rRNA from 1 species
AUCGAUGAAGAACGCAGCGAAAUGCGAUAAGUAAUGUGAAUUGCAGAAUUCAGUGAAUCAUCGAAUCUUUGAACGCACAUUGCGCCCUCUGGUAUUCCGGGGGGCAUGCCUGUUCGAGCGUCAUUACAACCCUCAAGCUCUGCUUGGUAUUGGGCCCUGCCAGUUCUGGCAGGCCUUAAAAUCAGUGGCGGUGCCAUUCGGCUUCAAGCGUAGUAAUUCUUCUCGCUUUGGAGACCCGGGUGUACACUUGCCAACAACCCCCAAUUUAUCAAUGGUUGACCUCGGAUCAGGUAGGGAUACCCGCUGAACUUAAGCAUAUCAAUAAGCGGAGGAAAAGAAACCAACAGGGAUUGCCUCAGUAACGGCGAGUGAAGCGGCAACAGCUCAAAUUUGAAAUCUGGCCUCACGGUCCGAGUUGUAAUUUGUAGAGGAUGUUUCGAACGUGGUCCGGUCUAAGUUCCUUGGAACAGGACGUCAUAGAGGGUGAGAAUCCCGUAUGCGACUGGGUGCCUAAGUUCAUGUGAAACUCCUUCGACGAGUCGAGUUGUUUGGGAAUGCAGCUCAAAAUGGGUGGUAAAUUUCAUCUAAAGCUAAAUAUUGGCCAGAGACCGAUAGCGCACAAGUAGAGUGAUCGAAAGAUGAAAAGCACUUUGGAAAGAGAGUUAAACAGUACGUGAAAUUGUUGAAAGGGAAGCGCUUGCAACCAGACUUGCACGCAGUUGAUCAUCCGGUAUUCUUACCGGUGCACUCGAUUGUGUUCAGGCCAGCAUCGGUUUUGGUGGUUGGAUAAAGGCCUUGGGAAUGUAGCUCCUCUCGGGGAGUGUUAUAGCCCUCGGUGCAAUGCAGCCUACCGGGACCGAGGACCGCGCUUCGGCUAGGAUGCUGGCGUAAUGGUUGUAAGCGACCCGUCUUGAAACACGG